AUUAUUACUUUGGCAGAUUAGUGUGUUUGAUUUAGGUUCAAAGAAUGUAAGUUUUACAGGUAAUA
rnacentral:tRNA from 1 species